rnacentral:rRNA from 1 species
UACGUAGGUGGCAAGCGUUGUCCGGAUUUACUGGGCGUAAAGAGCGCGCAGGCGGCCGAGUAAGUCGAAUGUGAAAGCCCUGGGCUCAACCUGGGAAUGGCAUUUGAAACUGGCCGGCUAGAGUGUGAUAGAGGAUGGCGGAAUUCCCGGUGUAGCGGUGAAAUGCGUAGAGAUCGGGAGGAACAUCCGUGGCGAAGGCGGCCAUCUGGAUCAACACUGACGCUGAGGCACGAAAGCGUGGGGAGCAAACAGG